GGCUCUGAUACCAUUUGUCACAUCCCAGGACCCGCUCCGUCGUAACACGAUACUGUCCGCUUUAGGCCCACCGGCCCUCACGGUUUUGUUUCCGGCAGCUCAGGAGCAACUUCCCAGUAGGUCACUCAUCCUGGGAUUGCUCUCGCAUCGACAUGCUUAACCUCGGAGUACCCAUCCCCUCCGAAGCCGCUGAGCCACCAAAAGGCCUCGUGUUAGAUUGGAGGUGGGCAUGUACAUAUACAGCAUAUAACCCCUCUCUGUUUGGCCAAUGUGGGAUAUUACAUAUACUGUGUUGCUUGCAUUGAUUUUUAUCCACUGGCAAGGAAAAUAAACUGCUUCAUAUAUUUUAAAUUCGUGGAUAUGUAUAUACUUACUUUGAUCUGUGAAGGACACGUCUCUGGACAGCAGGUAAGAUAACCUGGUCAUAGAUCUCUACUGGUAUGUUUGUGUUUUAUAAUUGCACAUACUUCUUUCCUUGUCCUUGAAUUUAUUCAGCUGUACAACUUCUGUCAUGAUUGAGUUGGUAAAUAUCAUGGAUAUCAAUCUGGUAUGACGUAGUAUACUUCUGCCCAUUGUUAUAUGUUAUUAUGUUGUGGUCGCUGAGAGCUAUAGAAAGGACUUACCUUUGAUUUGAUCACUGAUUGAUCUCACUUCAGGUGAACAAUUGUCCUGCAGUUGGUGUGGUUGUUAGUGUACAGCCAGUAUCCAUGGUUAAAGUUACUAUGAUGAGGUUCAGUUAUUCGUGUACAACUGUUUGAGCAACAUAUUUCUUAAGUCGAUGGUGUUGCCUUUUGCAUUUAUUUGUCUAAUCAAAUUAAUGCACUGUGGUGACGGCUAUUGGCGGUUAUUACCUUUUGUCAUUUCGUGUGGUGGUGAUAUUCAGUUUACAGCUUUAUGCUGGGACAGCUAUAUGCUGGGUUUACAGUACGAGUGCGACCACGUCUUGCCCCGGGGGCAUAGGAUACCGUACUGGGUUUACCGCCGAGUGUGGGGUUUAGUGUGGGUGUGACCACGCCUUGCCUGGGGGGCGUAAGGUUACCACACUGGUUACGGCCGAGUGCCGGGUUUUACCGCUCGAGUGACGGGUUUACCGCCAAUGCCGGGUUCGACUACUGAGUGUCGGAUU